CCUUCAUAGACAUGAGCACACCAGACUCAGUUGAUGGACCAAGCAAUUGCCUGGCAGAGAUUGUUAAUCUAGGUGAUAAAGGGAGCCAUUACUUAACAAAUGAACCUAUGGAAUAAUUUGAAGAAAAGGAGAUUGUAUGGAAGAAAAGAAACGUCUAUCAAAAUAGAAAGAAAGAGUUUACUUCAGAAAUGUCACUAUGGGAAGAUGUUGUGCAUAAGAAUACUUCAUGGGAACAGAAGAAAUGCCACCCAAAGUUUUCAUAAAAUAGAAGGAAGACAAUCACUUCAGAAAUGCUAAAUUGGUUAUACACUGUUUACCAAAGAAAUAAAACAUACUUCGGAUU